AAACGCUAGCGGCAGGCCUAAUACAUGCAAGUCGAACGGCAGCACGGGUAGCAAUACCUGGUGGCGAGUGGCGCACGGGUGCGUAACGCGUAUGCAACCUACCUUUGACUGGAGAAUAGCCCCGAGAAAUCGGGAUUAAUACUUCAUAUUAUUAUAGUAUGGCAUCAUGCUAUAAUUAAAGCUCCGGCGGUCUUAGAUGGGCAUGCGUGACAUUAGUUUGUUGGUGAGGUAACGGCUCACCAAGACUACGAUGUCUAGGGGUUCUGAGAGGAUUUUCCCCCACACUGGUACUGAGACACGGACCAGACUCCUACGGGAGGCAGCAGUAAGGAAUAUUGGGCAAUGGACGCAAGUCUGACCCAGCCAUGCCGCGUGCAGGAUGACAGCCCUACGGGUUGUAAACUGCUUUUGUACGGGAAAAAUUCCCUGGUCGUGAACCGGGGUUGAUGGUACCGUAAGAAUAAGCAUCGGCUAACUCCGUGCCAGCAGCCGCGGUAAUACGGAGGAUGCAAGCGUUAUCCGGAUUCAUU
rnacentral:rRNA from 1 species